GAGUUUGAUCAUGGCUCAGGAUGAACGCUGGCGGCGUGCUUAACACAUGCAAGUCGAACGAACCUUCGGGUUAGUGGCGGACGGGUGAGUAACGCGUGAGAAUCUGCCCUCAGGAGGGGGAUAACGGUUGGAAACGACCGCUAAUACCCCAUAUGCCUACUGGUGAAAUGAAUUUCGCCUGAGGAUGAGCUCGCGUCUGAUUAGCUAGUUGGUGAGGUAAUGGCUCACCAAGGCUUCGAUCAGUAGCUGGUCUGAGAGGAUGAUCAGCCACACUGGGACUGAGACACGGCCCAGACUCCUACGGGAGGCAGCAGUGGGGAAUUUUCCGCAAUGGGCGAAAGCCUGACGGAGCAACGCCGCGUGAGGGACGAAGGCCUCUGGGCUGUAAACCUCUUUUCUCAAGGAAGAAGAUAUGACGGUACUUGAGGAAUAAGCCACGGCUAAUUCCGUGCCAGCAGCCGCGGUAAUACGGGAGUGGCAAGCGUUAUCCGGAAUUAUUGGGCGUAAAGCGUCCGCAGGCGGCUUUUCAAGUCUGCUGUUAAAGCGUGGAGCUUAACUCCAUCAUGGCAGUGGAAACUGAAAGGCUUGAGUAUGGUAGGGGCAGAGGGAAUUCCCGGUGUAGCGGUGAAAUGCGUAGAUAUCGGGAAGAACACCAGUGGCGAAGGCGCUCUGCUGGGCCAUUACUGACGCUCAUGGACGAAAGCCAGGGGAGCGAAAGGGAUUAGAUACCCCUGUAGUCCUGGCCG
rnacentral:rRNA from 1 species